GAUAUGUUUCCACUGGGGUUCAUUUGGAUGAUCCUGCUAGCUAGCUUGAUUGUUCAUGUGGAUCCAUGUGCAUCAAUCCAUCCUUCCUGAAGCUGAGCCCUAGGUAAAAGAGGAUGAUCUUGCCAGUUAGAAGAGGGUCAUUCUUUGGUCCAGACUAAAUGAGUAGCUGUGUUCUUCUGUCAGAGCCUCCAAAUUAGCAGACCCUGAUUACAAAGGUCAAGAUCUACCUCCUAGCAAUGGACUA
rnacentral:sRNA from 1 species